AACGAACGUUGGCGGCGUGGAUUAGGCAUGCAAGUCAUACGGGAUCCAGCAAUGGGUCUAGUGGCGCACGGGUGAGUAACGCGUGGGUAAUCUACCUCCGAAUUGGGGAUAACACUGCGAAAGCGGUGCUAAUACCGAAUGACAUCUCCGAGACCUCGGUCUCAGGGAUCAAAGGUGGCCUCUACAUGUAAGCUACUGUUUGGAGAUGAGCCCGCGUACCAUUAGCUAGUUGGUAGGGUAAUGGCCUACCAAGGCUGCGAUGGUUAGCUGGUCUGAGAGGAUGAUCAGCCACACUGGAACUGACACACGGUCCAGACUCCUACGGGAGGCAG
rnacentral:rRNA from 1 species